rnacentral:sRNA from 1 species
CUUGGUCAUUUAGAGGAAGUAAAAGUCGUAACAAGGUUUCCGUAGGUGAACCUGCGGAAGGAUCAUUCACAAACGAGUGUUUUAUGGCACUCUUUAAAAAUCCAUAUCCACCUUGUGUGCAAUGUUUGUUGGGAAAGUCUUUCCUUUCCCUUCAUAAAUAUCAACCUAUAUCUUUAACAACAUUCGUCUGAUAACAUAUUAUGAAUAUACUUAAUUCAAAAUAUAACUUUCAACAACGGAUCUCUUGGCUCUCGCAUCGAUGAAGAACGCAGCGAAAUGCGAUACGUAAUGUGAAUUGCAGAAUUCAGUGAAUCAUCGAAUCUUUGAACGCAUAUUGCGCUCUUUGGUAUUCCGAAGAGCAUGCUUGUUUGAGUAUCAGUAAACACCUCAACCUCUCUUUUUUGAUAAAAAAAAGGGAGGGUGGACUUGAGCUAUCCCAACGACCUUCACCGGUAGGCGGGCGGCUUGAAAUGCAGGUGCAGCUGGACUUUUAUCUGAGCUAAAAGCAUAUCUAUUUAGUCCUCGUCAAACAGGAUUAUUACUUUUGCUGCAGCUAACAUAAAGGAUAAUUGUCCUCUUUGCUGACUGAUGCAGGAUUUUACGACACUUUAUGUGUUGUUCAACUCGAUCUCAAAUCAAGUAAGACUACCCGCUGAACUUAAGCAUAUCAAUAAGCGGAGGAAAAGAAACUAACAAGGAUUCCCCUAGUAACGGCGAGUGAAGCGGGAUGAGCUCAAAUUUGAAAUCUGGCUGGUUUACUAGUCCGAGUUGUAAUUUAAAGAAGCGUUUUCGGUGGCAGCCUGGGUAUAAAUCCUUUGGAAUAGGGUAUCAUAGAGGGUGAGAAUCCCGUCUUUGACCUAGUGCAUGCUACUAUGUGAUACGUUUUCAAAGAGUCGAGUUGUUUGGGAAU